rnacentral:rRNA from 1 species
CACGCAGGCGGUCGUGUAAGUUUGGGGUUACAGCUCCCGGCUCAACUGGGAGAGCGCCUUGAAGACUGCAGGACUUGAGGGCCAGAGAGGGACACAGAAUUCCGGGUGUAGUGGUGAAAUGCGUAGAUAUCCGGAGGAAUACCAAAGGCGAAGGCAGUGUCCUGGCUGGUGACUGACGCUGAGGUGCGAAAGCUAGGGGAGCGAACGGGAUUAGAUACCCCGGUAGUCCUAGCCGUAAACGAUGACCACUAGGUGUGGGAGGUAUCGACCCCUUCCGUGCCGUAGCAAACGUGAUAAGUGGUCCGCCUGGGGAGUACGGUCGCAAGAUUAAA